rnacentral:rRNA from 1 species
UACGGGGGGGGGCAAGCGUUGUUCGGAAUUACUGGGCGUAAAGGGUUUGUAGGUGGCUUGCUAAGUCAGACGUGAAAUCCCUCAGCUUAACUGGGGAACUGCGUCUGAUACUGGCGAGCUUGAGUGCAGGAGAGGAACGCGGAAUUCCAGGUGUAGCGGUGAAAUGCGUAGAUAUCUGGAGGAACACCGGUGGCGAAGGCGGCGUUCUGGACUGUAACUGACACUGAGAAACGAAAGCCAGGGUAGCAAACGGG